GGGCGGUUAGCUCAGCCGGUGAGAGCGCCGGUCUUACAAACCGGAGGUCGCAGGUUCGAUCCCUGUUCCGCCCACCA
rnacentral:tRNA from 1 species